rnacentral:rRNA from 1 species
CUACGGUGAAUACGUUCCCGGACCUUGUACACACCGCCCGUCAAGCCAUGGAAGCUGGGUGUACCUAAAGUCGGUAACCGUAAGGAGCCGCCUAGGGUAAACUAGUAACUGGGCU